rnacentral:rRNA from 2 species
UACAGAGGGUGCGAGCGUUAAUCGGAAUUACUGGGCGUAAAGCGCGUGUAGGCGGCUUUGCAAGUCGGUUGUGAAAUCCCCAAGCUCAACUUGGGAACUGCACUCGAGACUGCAUUGCUAGAGUAUGGGAGAGAGAAGUGGAAUUUCCGGUGUAGCGGUGAAAUGCGUAGAUAUCGGAAGGAACAUCAGUGGCGAAAGCGACUUCUUGGACCAAUACUGACGCUCAAGUGCGAAAGCGUGGGGAGCAAACAGG